rnacentral:rRNA from 1 species
UACGUAGGGACCAAGCGUUGUUCGGAUUUACUGGGCGUAAAGGGCGCGUAGGCGGCUUGACAAGUCACUUGUGAAAUCUCCGGGCUUAACUCGGAACGGCCAAGUGAAACUGUCAUGCUAGAGUGCAGAAGGGGCAAUCGGAAUUCUUGGUGUAGCGGUGAAAUGCGUAGAUAUCAAGAGGAACACCUGUGGUGAAGACGGGUUGCUGGGCUGACACUGACGCUGAGGCGCGAAAGCCAGGGGAGCAAACAGG